rnacentral:rRNA from 1 species
CUGCUGCCUUCCGUAGGAGUCUGGUCCGUGUCUCAGUACCAGUGUGGGGGGCCUUCCUCUCAGAACCCCUACGCAUCGUCGCCUCGGUGGGCCGUUACCCCGCCGACUAGCUAAUGCGCCGCAUGCCCAUCCGUGGCCGGGAUUGCUCCCUUUGGCGGCCUUGGGAUGCCCCAAGGCCGCGUUACGCGGUAUUAGACGGGGUUUCCCCCGCUUAUCCCCCUGCCACGGGCAGGUUGCAUACGUGUUACUCACCCGUGCGCCGGUCGCCGGCGGGAGUA